UACGUAGGGUGCGAGCGUUAAUCGGAAUUACUGGGCGUAAAGCGUGCGCAGGCGGUUUUGUAAGACCGAUGUGAAAUCCCCGGGCUCAACCUGGGAACUGCAUUUGUGACUGCAUCGCUGGAGUGCGGCAGAGGGGGGUAGAAUUCCACGUGUAGCAGUGAAAUGCGUAGAGUAUGUGGAGGAACACCGAUGGCGAAGGCAGCCCCCUGGGCUACACUGACGCUCAUGCACGAAAGGCGUGGGG
rnacentral:rRNA from 1 species